rnacentral:rRNA from 1 species
GAUGAACGCUGGCGGCAUGCUUUACACAUGCAAGUCGAACGGCAGCACGGGGGCUUGCUCCUGGUGGCGAGUGGCGAACGGGUGAGUAAUGCAUCGGAACGUACCCAGUAGUGGGGGAUAGCCCGGCGAAAGCCGGAUUAAUACCGCAUAUUUCCUGAGGGAGAAAGCGGGGGACCUUCGGGCCUCGCGCUACUGGAGCGGCUGAUGUCGGAUUAGCUAGUUGGUGAGGUAAAGGCUCACCAAGGCGACGAUCCGUAGCUGGUCUGAGAGGAUGAUCAGCCACACUGGGACUGAGACGCGGCCCAGACUCCUACGGGAGGCAGCAGUGGGGAAUUUUGGACAAUGGGGGCAACCCUGAUCCAGCCAUGCCGCGUGAGUGAAGAAGGCC